GUUUUUUCCCCAUUUCAAGGUCUUUGAAGUACAUUAUUAAAGUUUUGCUUUUUGGGUUUACUUCGUUGUUCCUUCUUCUCCAUCACCAACGUUAGCUGACGUUCACACAGUAAUACUUCCUGUCUGUAUGCAAUCUGCAGGACAAUACGUUCCACUCCACAGAGUCCUGGUAUCAGGAAAUGGUCACCUCCAUCUCCCGAGGGAUAGGUGUUCAAAUCAAGGAAAAUUCAAAUAAGUACACAUGAGGAACCUGAGGGUCUUGACAGAAUCACAGAAUUGUUGAGUGGGAAGGAACCACUGAUCUUAUCUAGCCUAACCCCUCCAUUCAAGCAUGGAUCUCAAGAACAAGUUGCC